rnacentral:rRNA from 1 species
GAGUUUGAUCCUGGCUCAGAUUGAACGCUGGCGGCAGGCCUAACACAUGCAAGUCGAACGGUAGCACAGAGGAGCUUGCUCCUUGGGUGACGAGUGGCGGACGGGUGAGUAAUGUCUGGGAAACUGCCCGAUGGAGGGGGAUAACUACUGGAAACGGUAGCUAAUACCGCAUAACGUCGCAAGACCAAAGAGGGGGACCUUCGGGCCUCUUGCCAUCGGAUGUGCCCAGAUGGGAUUAGCUAGUAGGUGGGGUAACGGCUCACCUAGGCGACGAUCCCUAGCUGGUCUGAGAGGAUGACCAGCCACACUGGAACUGAGACACGGUCCAGACUCCUACGGGAGGCAGCAGUGGGGAAUAUUGCACAAUGGGCGCAAGCCUGAUGCAGCCAUGCCGCGUGUAUGAAGAAGGCCUUCGGGUUGUAAAGUACUUUCAGCGAGGAGGAAGGCGUUGUGGUUAAUAACCGCAGCGAUUGACGUUACUCGCAGAAGAAGCACCGGCUAACUCCGUGCCAGCAGCCGCGGUAAUACGGAGGGUGCAAGCGUUAAUCGGAAUUACUGGGCGUAAAGCGCACGCAGGCGGUCUGUCAAGUCGGAUGUGAAAUCCCCGGGCUCAACCUGGGAACUGCAUCCGAAACUGGCAGGCUAGAGUCUUGUAGAGGGGGGUAGAAUUCCAGGUGUAGCGGUGAAAUGCGUAGAGAUCUGGAGGAAUACCGGUGGCGAAGGCGGCCCCCUGGACAAAGACUGACGCUCAGGUGCGAAAGCGUGGGGAGCAAACAGGAUUAGAUACCCUGGUAGUCCACGCCGUAAACGAUGUCGACUUGGAGGUUGUGCCCUUGAGGCGUGGUUUCCGGAGCUAACGCGUUAAGUCGACCGCCUGGGGAGUACGGCCGCAAGGUUAAAACUCAAAUGAAUUGACGGGGGCCCGCACAAGCGGUGGAGCAUGUGGUUUAAUUCGAUGCAACGCGAAGAACCUUACCUACUCUUGACAUCCAGAGAACUUAGCAGAGAUGCUUUGGUGCCUUCGGGAACUCUGAGACAGGUGCUGCAUGGCUGUCGUCAGCUCGUGUUGUGAAAUGUUGGGUUAAGUCCCGCAACGAGCGCAACCCUUAUCCUUUGUUGCCAGCGGUUCGGCCGGGAACUCAAAGGAGACUGCCAGUGAUAAACUGGAGGAAGGUGGGGAUGACGUCAAGUCAUCAUGACCCUUACGAGUAGGGCUACACACGUGCUACAAUGGCAUAUACAAAGAGAAGCGACCUCGCGAGAGCAAGCGGACCUCAUAAAGUAUGUCGUAGUCCGGAUUGGAGUCUGCAACUCGACUCCAUGAAGUCGGAAUCGCUAGUAAUCGUGGAUCAGAAUGCCACGGUGAAUACGUUCCCGGGCCUUGUACACACCGCCCGUCACACCAUGGGAGUGGGUUGCAAAAGAAGUAGGUAGCUUAACCUUCGGGAGGGCGCUUACCACUUUGUGAUUCAUGACUGGGGUGAAGUCGUAACAAGGUAACCGUA